GUUUACAAAGUUUAAAUUUAAACAUUACACUUUCACUGUAAAGACUGAUAAAUGUUAUCUGUGAGCC
rnacentral:tRNA from 1 species